AAGAUUGUUUGGUUGAUUCGUUUUCUUGUGUGAUUGUUUCUAUGUCUUGGUGACUCUGGGCAACCCCUUGGAGAGUCGUCAUCGUCCUUGGAGUGUUUAGAAGUGGAGAUCCAGAGCGAGCAGAAGUGACUGGAGCAAUCUGAGAGCAUCAGUGUCGAUCGACACCAGUGGUCGGUGUCAAUCGUCACAAGUGAAAUGUGUCCCGAGGAUGAUAUCGAAUGGCGAUUGACACCAGUGUUGGAUGUCAAUUGACACUACUCG
rnacentral:lncRNA from 1 species